CCUUGACAUACUAAGAACUUUCCAGAGAUGGAUUGGUGCCUUCGGGAACUUAGAUACAGGUGCUGCAUGGCUGUCGUCAGCUCGUGUCGUGAGAUGUUGGGUUAAGUCCCGCAACGAGCGCAACCCUUUUUCCUUAUUUGCCAGCGGGUCAUGCCGGGAACUUUAAGGAUACUGCCAGUGACAAACUGGAGGAAGGCGGGGACGACGUCAAGUCAUCAUGGCCCUUACGGCCAGGGCUACACACGUGCUACAAUGGUCGGUACAAAGGGUUGCUACCUCGCGAGAGGAUGCUAAUCUCAAAAAGCCGAUCGUAGUCCGGAUCGCAGUCUGCAACUCGACUGCGUGAAGUCGGAAUCGCUAGUAAUCGCGGAUCAGAAUGCCGCGGUGAAUACGUUCCCGGGCCUUGUACACACCGCCCGUCACACCAUGGGAGUUUGUUGCACCAGAAGUAGGUAGUCUAACCGCAAGGAGGACGCUUACCACGGUGUGGCCGAUGACUGGGGUGAAGUCGUAACAAGGUAGGCGUAGAUGA
rnacentral:rRNA from 1 species